CCGACCAUUACACGUUGGAAAACAUCCGGUUCUCGUCUGAUCACCGAAGUUAAGCAACGUCGGGAAGCGUUAAGUACUUGCAGUUCCAGGCAAAGAAUUUCAACCUCUCAAGGUCGACGUUUUC
rnacentral:rRNA from 1 species